GACAGAGGAUGCAAGCGUUAUCCGGAAUGAUUGGGCGUAAAGCGUCUGUAGGUGGCUUUUCAAGUCCGCCGUCAAAUCCCAGGGCUCAACCCUGGACAGGCGGUGGAAACUACCAAGCUGGAGUACGGUAGGGGCAGAGGGAAUUUCCGGUGGAGCGGUGAAAUGCGUAGAGAUCGGGAGGAACACCGGUGGCGAAGGCGGCCAGCUGGCGCUGACCUGACGCUGAGGCGCGAAGGCAUGGGGAGCGAACGGG
rnacentral:rRNA from 1 species